GAGAAAAGUAGGGGGUGGGGACAGGCAGCGGUGCACUUGGAGGAGAGGUCGAAGAUUGAAUUUCGGCCCGACAGCAUUCCCCACGGGCGCAUUGAGCGUGAGAGAGUGCACAAGUGAAGACCGUGAGUGACCUACAAACAAGUUUAACCAACUUCACCCGAGCUGCAGAUUAACGCCGAAGCAGUAGCCCUUGAAGGAGCCACGCUGCUCCCUCUGCCACCUCCCCUCCUCUCCCAAACAUGACACAUGAAGGUGGGACAACAUGCAGGAUGAGGAGGGGUUGUCUGGACACCAUGAUGAGGGAACUGAUACACAAACUGUCUCAGAAGGAGGAAAAGGUGAGCCCAAAAGGCACCCCGAGGUGGAGGUACAGUAGCAGAGUUAUGGUCGCUCUCUGGAGGAUUGAUUAGUUUGAAUCCGCAGCUCUGGCAGGCAGACGGGCGAGAGGAAGUUUUCUACUGGGUGAACUGGACAUGGUGAUAAACUGGUGAUGAGCAUGAAGCUGACAGCAUGUAUGGACCCUUUUGCAUGGAGGGUCUGCAUGUUAUUUACAGUACAGAAUAUGAUUGACAAAGAACAUUUCUCAGCUGAAUUUACAAAGAAAACUGAGAGUGAAGAGACAAGAAAAGUAAGACAAGAACCAGAAGCAAGAAAGAAACAAAGACGAAGAGAUGGAUAAUCAAGACAGUGGGGGAGGUACAGG